UGGCUAAGGAGUAAAAGAAAAUGAUUGGUAGGUUCAUCCAACGUGAUAGUAUCUAACUCUCUAGUCAUGCAAGACAUUAGUAAGGACUUAGAAGAAGAUUGCCCAAGAAUAAAAGAUCAACUCAGGUAACUACCUUGCUGCAAGUCGAAUCAUCACAAGAGCUUAAUUGCUCGGCCUUCAAAGCAAUCGAUUGAAUAUUGUUAUGAAAUAGCU
rnacentral:lncRNA from 1 species